rnacentral:rRNA from 1 species
CACGGAGUUAGCCGGUGCUUAUUCGUUAGAUACCGUCAUAAUCUUCUCUAACAAAAGGAGUUUACAAUCCUAAAACCUUCAUCCUCCACGCGGCGUUGCUGCUUCAGGGUUUCCCCCAUUGAGCAAUAUUCCCUACUGCUGCCUCCCGUAGGAGUCUGGACCGUGUCUCAGUUCCAGUGUGUCCGAUCACCCUCUCAGGCCGGAUACCCGUCAUAGCCUUGGUGAGCCAUUACCUCACCAACAAGCUGAUAGGACAUAGGCUGAUCCUUUAGCGAAAAACUUUCCCCCGUAGGGAGUAUCCAGUAUUAAUCACCGUUUCCAGUGGCUAUCCCAGACUAAAGGGCACAUAACCUAUGCAUUACUCACCCGUGCGCCACUAAUCCACUUCUAGCAAGCUAGAAGAUUCAUCGUUCGACUUGCAUGUAUUAGGCACGCCGCCAGCGUUCACUCUGAGCCAGGAUCAAACUCU